CCCUACGGGGUGCCGAACCUUUUCGCAUUGGUUUAUGGGUGGGUCCGCGCCGUACCCCCAACUGGAAUCCCGACAGUGAUGAAAUCGUCAAAGAAUACCGCAAAACCGGUUAUUUCCGCUCCACAGCCACCGGCGGCUCGGGAUCACCCCAUCAAUUAACCAACUGCCCUUGGUGCGGCGCGCCGAUCAACCCGGGCACUGACAUUGUUGUCGAGACCUACAAACACGGUUCCUGCCGCACAAUUGUUUAUUGCCCAUCCAACGCUUGCAUUUUUAAUCAGAAGAAUGCUAAACGGGGGGGC
rnacentral:rRNA from 1 species